AUUGAACGCUGGCGGCAGGCCUAACACAUGCAAGUCGAACGGAGUGGCGGACGGGUGAGUAAUGUCUGGGAAACUGCCUGAUGGAGGGGGAUAACGUCCGGAAACGGGCGCUAAUACCGCAUACUAUCAGAUGAGCCCAGGUCGGAUUAGCUAGUUGGUGGGGUAAAGGCUUACCAAGGCAACGAUCCGUAACGGGUCUGAGAGGAUGAUCAGUCACACUGGAACUGAGACACGUCCCAGACUCCUACGGGAGGCAGAAGUGGGGAAUCUGUGACAAUGGGCGAAAGUCUGAUACAGCCACGACGCGGGUGUGAAGAAGGUUUUCGGAUUGUAAAGCACUUUAGUUUGGAAAGCGUUACCAACAGAAUAAGCAACGGCUAACUACGUGCCAGCAGCCGCGGUAAUAC
rnacentral:rRNA from 1 species